rnacentral:rRNA from 1 species
GAUGAACGCUGGCGGCGUGCCUAAUACAUGCAAGUCGAGCGAACGGACGAGAAGCUUGCUUCUCUGAUGUUAGCGGCGGACGGGUGAGUAACACGUGGAUAACCUACCUAUAAGACUGGGAUAACUUCGGGAAACCGGAGCUAACACCGGAUAAUAUUUUGAACCGCAUGGUUCAAAAGUGAAAGACGGUCUUGCUGUCACUUAUAGAUGGAUCCGCGCUGCAUUAGCUAGUUGGUAAGGUAACGGCUUACCAAGGCAACGAUGCAUAGCCGACCUGAGAGGGUGAUCGGCCACACUGGAACUGAGACACGGUCCAGACUCCUACGGGAGGCAGCAGUAGGGAAUCUUCCGCAAUGGGCGAAAGCCUGACGGAGCAACGCCGCGUGAGUGAUGAAGGUCUUCGGAUCGUAAAACUCUGUUAUUAGGGAAGAACAUAUGUGUAAGUAACUGUGCACAUCUUGACGGUACCUAAUCAGAAAGCCACGGCUAACUACGU